AUAUAAAGAAUUUAAUAAUAAUGAACAAAAAAAAAUGUGUUUAAUGUGCUGAAAUUAUUGUGUAUCGGUUCAGUCGGUCGUAGGUGGUCUAGCUAGUAAGGUUGAUUGGGGAUUGAGGAAUUUAUUGAAACAGAAAUUGUAGAAUAUGGGACAGUCGGAUGGAGUCGUGCCGGAAAGAGCGAGCUGGAACAAACCCUUGGAAUUCGUCCUUUCGUGCCUCGGAUACGCGGUUGGCCUUGGAAAUGUCUGGAGGUUUCCCUACCUCUGCUACCAGAAUGGAGGAGGUGCGUUUCUGGUUGCAUACUUCAUCAUGCUGAUCGUGAUGGGAUUGCCGAUUUUCCUGCUGGAAUUGGCUUUAGGUCAGUACACGGGUUUGGGACCUGACGAAGCCUUCACCAGGAUCGCACCGAUCUUCAACGGAAUUGGAUACUGCACGUUGGUGGUGAUCACGUUGGUCACCAUUUACUAUAUGGUGAUCAUAGCUUGGACGAUCUUUUAUUUCUUCGCUUCGUUCACUUCGGAGCUGGAUUUCGGGUCUUGCAGUAACGAAUUCAAUACUAAUGGGUGUUACAGUGUGGUUGAGGAUUCGAAAUGCGGAGAAACCGAGACGUUCUACAACAAGACUUGCACGUCGAUCGAAGUGAUUUGCGCUAAUAACGGUGGUUAUUUGAAUAAGACUUAUUGCAAGGGUGAAGGGGACGUUCCGGAGCAUCUCAGCAAAGUCAUCAAGGACAGACAGUUGGCCACGUACGAGUAUUUCAACAAUUACGUGCUGGGCGCGGACGAGGCGAGCUGGGAGAACUUCGGCGGGUUACGGUGGCAGCUCGUGUUGUGCCUAUUGUUGGCUUGGAUAAUCGGAUAUAUGUGCGUCGUGAGGGGCGUGAAGAGCUCCGGCAAAGCCGUCUACUUCACCGCAUUAUUUCCGUACGUCAUGCUAACCGUCCUGGUUAUCGUCGGAUGUACUCUGGAUGGAGCCGUCGACGGCAUCCUUCUGUACAUCAAACCGGAUUGGGAGAAGCUUUUGGAGGCGAAGAUGUGGGGAAACGCAGCGUCACAAACGUUCUACUCCUUUGGAAUCGGUUGCGGAUCUCUGAUCACCCUAUCGUCUUACAGCGAUUUCAAGAAUAACUGCCUGAAAGAUGCCAUCAUCGUUGCGGCCGCGAACGCUUUCACCUCGAUCUACGCAGGAUUCGCGAUAUUCUCCAUGCUCGGGUUCUUGGCCUUCAAACUCGACGUUCCUGUCGCCGAAGUCGCGACGGACGGACCCGGUCUAGCUUUCGUCGCUUAUCCAGAAGCUCUGCUGCAAUUACCUGUACCGACGGUCUGGGCUUUGAUUUUCUUCUUCAUGCUCUUCAUCUUAGGCUUGGGCAGUCAAUUCGCUGGAAUCGAGGCAAUCAGUACCACGAUCUUGGAUAGAUGGCCGCACCUCCGUAAACGCCAAGUCUUCGUCACGCUCGGCAUAUGCAUCUGCUGUUUCCUACUGGGAUUACCCAUGUGCUGCAACGGAGGCAUCUUCAUCUUCACCUUGAUGGAAUGGAACACGGCUUCGUGGGCCAUCCUCUUGAUCGGUUUAGCCGAAGUCGGAUCCGUCGCCUGGGCGUACGGCUGCAACAGAUUCCUGGACAACAUCGCCGAGAUGGGAAUGGAGCUCCGCAAACCGGCGAGAUGGUUCUGGUGGACUUGCUGGUGCAUCAUCACACCAAUCGCUUUACUAGGCGUUUUCGUCUUCCAAAUGACAACGUUCACCUUAGCCUCGUACGAGGACUACACGUUUCCACCUUGGGCCGACUCGCUGGGAAUCAUGAUGGGCGUAGCCACCUUAAUCCCCUUACCUUUGUUCGCAAUCUACGCCCUAUUCAAAUACAAAUACUCCGGAUGGGAAUGGUUCCAACCUACAGACGCCUGGGGACCGCAAGCCUCCAAAUCCGAAAGCAACCAAACUUUGAGCGACACCUUGGAAGCGCCGAUCGAAAAAUUUUAAACGAAUACUCAAAUUCUUCCCAAACCAAUUUAAAAAAACUAUAUUUAUUUAUCUGUUUUGAAAUGUACAAUUAUUCUGUAUAUUUGUAAAUACAAUAUUUUUGUUUGUUUCUUUUUCUAUAUACGAAGUAGAAGAACGUCUCUCAACUUCAUUAAAUUUUUAAUUGAAAUCAAUUCGACACAGAUUGAGAAACGCUGAUGUUGAGAUCAACACAGUUUUAUGUUGGGAAGAUGAAGGGAGUGGAUUAACCCGGUUUCAAUCUGAAAACAAACCGCAGGGAUUAUAUCAGGCUUCCAUCAGACCAAUGAUACACCCAAACUGUAUACGACCUAAGCGAAGAUGGGAAAACUAAUAAUACAACAUCCUAUUUUAUAUAACUAUACACAUAUUGGACACGAUGGAAAAUACCAGCUUCAUUCGAUUUAUGCUAAUUGCAUUGACGUCCGCUUCAUUACAGAAACUUAUUACGCUCUUCAAUCGAAAACCCAUCACCCUCCCAGGAGCGUACGCGAAGUUCGCUUCGAACCUUUUGAUCACAGACUCUCUCCGUAAAAUCAAUAAAACACUACAAUAACUUUUGAUGUAGAUGAAUUAUCCUUCCCUUCAAUAACAGAUCACAUUAACACACUACAAGGGCGACAGACAACCAGAAUCUUCACACGCAACCAUCACACCAAAUCCCUCUUUGUUUCUCCACCAACAGCUUCACUGUGCAAAAGACCUAAAAAUAAAAUCCCUUUCCCAGACAUACUGUCCUUUCUGGACACUAUAAACCCGAAAUUCCUUAAAAAUAAUGAUUAACUACUAUUAACACUCUGUACAAUUAAUUAAGAAUUUAUUUUUUUAUAUAACUAUUUCUAUUAACCGCUAAAAUGUAAUGGCUCAAAGAGCUUAAGCUCGCAAAAAGCCACAAAACUAACUAAUGUAAUAACUCUGUAACACCCUAAACAUAAUAAAAAGAAUUUAAAAUUGAA